GAUGAACGCUGACAGAAUGCUUAACACAUGCAAGUCAACUUGAAUUUGGGUUUUUAACUUAGGUUUGGGUGGCGGACGGGUGAGUAACGCGUAAAGAACUUGCCUCACAGCUAGGGACAACAUUUGGAAACGAAUGCUAAUACCUAAUAUUAUGAUAAUAGGGCAUCCUAUAAUUAUGAAAGCUAUAAGCGCUGUGAGAGAGCUUUGCGUCCCAUUAGCUAGUUGGAGAGGUAACGGCUCACCAAGGCGAUGAUGGGUAGCCGGCCUGAGAGGGUGAUCGGCCACAAGGGGACUGAGACACGGCCCUUACUCCUACGGGAGGCAGCAGUGGGGAAUAUUGGACAAUGGACCAAGAGUCUGAUCCAGCAAUUCUGUGUGCACGAUGAAGUUUUUCGGAAUGUAAAGUGCUUUCAGUUGGGAAGAAAAAAAUGACGGUACCAACAGAAGAAGUGACGGCUAAAUACGUGCCAGCAGCCGCGGUAAUACGUAUGUCACGAGCGUUAUCCGGAUUUAUUGGGCGUAAAGCGCGUCUAGGUGGUUAUAUAAGUCUGAUGUGAAAAUGCAGGGCUCAACUCUGUAUUGCGUUGGAAACUGUAUAACUAGAGUACUGGAGAGGUAAGCGGAACUACAAGUGUAGAGGUGAAAUUCGUAGAUAUUUGUAGGAAUGCCGAUGGGGAAGCCAGCUUACUGGACAGAUACUGACGCUGAAGCGCGAAAGCGUGGGUAGCAAACAGG
rnacentral:rRNA from 1 species